UAGGGAAUCUUCCACAAUGGACGAAAGUCUGAUGGAGCAACGCCGCGUGGGUGAAGAAGGGUUUCGGCUCGUAAAACUCUGUUGUUAAAGAAGAACAUAUCUGAGAGUAACUGUUCAGGUAUUGACGGUAUUUAACCAGAAAGCCACGGCUAACUACGUGCUA
rnacentral:rRNA from 1 species